AGGACGAACGCUGGCGGCGUGCUUAACACAUGCAAGUCGAGCGGAAAGGCCCUUCGGGGUACUCGAGCGGCGAACGGGUGAGUAACACGUGAGUAAUCUGCCCCUAGCUCUGGGAUAGCUCCGGGAAAACCGGGAUUAAUACCGGAUACGACUGCUACGGACAUCUGUGGUGGUGGAAAGAACUUCGGCUAGGGAUGAGCUCGCGGCCUAUCAGCUUGUGGUGGGUAACGCCUACCAAGGCGACGACGGGUAG
rnacentral:rRNA from 1 species